CAUACGUUGUCAGGCUCAAAUUUUGUUGAUUGAUUUAUUUUAUUUAGUUUUGAGUCAAGAAAUCAAAAUGUGUUGCGGAGAUCUACAAAAAAAUACAAUAAUAGUCGGAAUAACUGCGAUAGUAUGUUCAAUCAUCUUUCUAAUUAUGGGGUACCCAGAUCGUGAUAGUAGAAGAUACGGCCUAUUUUACGAUAAUGCAAAAAUUGAGCUUACUAGAACUAUUUUCGCGAUGUGGGUUCUGAUUGGUCUAGCCGCUGCUGCACUUGUGGUUGGGGCGUUUUUGGCAAAAGAAUCUUUACAUUGUGCUGGCAUGGCUCGUCGUACUUUUCGUGUGCGGAAUCUCUUUGAUCAUUUUUUACACCGGAUUUAUAAGGAAACGUGAUAGCGAAUUUUUUUUUGUUGUAUGCUCCGUAAGACUUUCUCUCGUCAUCGCUUUUUUUGUGAUUUGGUUUUGGGUGUCACUGGUGUACUUUCUGAACCUCUCCGGCUAUACAGCGUUCUGUAGAAAGUCCCGAUCCUAGGACUCGUAAUAUAUAUUACAUACAUAUAUAUACAUUUGGUGUGAAUUUUGAAUUCAAUAAAUCUUGAAGUGUGCUUUCGUCUCAA
rnacentral:misc_RNA from 1 species